rnacentral:rRNA from 1 species
UACGGAGGGGGCUAGCGUUGUUCGGAAUUACUGGGCGUAAAGCGCACGUAGGCGGCUUUGUAAGUUAGAGGUGAAAGCCCAGGGCUUAACCCUGGAAUUGCCUUUAAGACUGCAUCGCUAGAAUCGUGGAGAGGUGAGUGGAAUUCCGAGUGUAGAGGUGAAAUUCGUAGAUAUUCGGAAGAAACACCAGUGGCGAAGGCGACUCACUGGACACGUAUUGACGCUGAGGUGCGAAAAGCGUGGGGGAGCAAACAGG